ACACACACACACACACACACACACACACACACACACAGUGUUUCUACUCAUUUCUGUUGUGCUCUUUCUGCAAAUUGCAUGCACAUAUUCACUCAAAUUAUGUACACAUCUGACAAGACAUCUAUGUGACUAUGUGGCUAUGUUUUAUGUUAGUAUAUUAGCAGAGGGGUGUGAGCAACACAGAAUAAAACGGCUAAGGAGCAAUUCCAGACAGAGAGGAAAUGAAAUGAUUUUGGAAAAGGAGACAAAUCAAGAUGGAGGGUGAGGGAGGAGUGAGUGAGACCCUGAGUGAGGGAAAGCGAGGAAGAGAGAAAGCAUGUGCAAGACACACAAGUGCUUUAGUCAGGAGAAUUCCAACCUAACAUCUGUUUCUCAUUCCGACAAUGAAUGCCUUUGAUUCUGGACACACCACAAGGCCAUACACAUACAUGCUACAUCUCCAAGAUAUACAAAAUCACACCACUACCUGUCACUGAUCUUGGAAGAACUGCAUCAACUGUAUACAGACCAAUGCACUUGAGCAGAUUGUUAACUGAAUGCAGUAUAUUAGUGAAUUUAUAACAGCUAAAACUGACCAUUUUGAUUUCAUCAGAAUGACUUACAUAUUCAUACUUUCAGCACCCUUAGCACUCGUGUUACACGAUAUUGCAGUACUGAAAAAGUAUCGCGGUACUACCAGCAUUUUGGAAAAAAAUUUAAUCGGUACUUUUAUUAUGCGACUGGCUAAUAAGGAUCUGUCUCUUUAAGCACAAUCCUGAAAGCGCGUGACGGUGGGGAAAACAACCUUGACUGAGUUUGUGAUAUGAGCAAGAAUACUAGUUCAGAGCAACAGUAAAGAGAGCGUACCACUUUUUCGUUUUGUUCAGAGAUUAGGCUUGAAGAGAUUGCAGCAGCUUCAGCCAAAUCUAAAUUCACUGACAAAGCGAGCGCAUGAAGUGUAAUAUGGAUAUAUUUAGUCUUAAAAGUGAACAGAUAAGACGAGCCACCUAAACACCAGCACGACUGUGCCAGGCAACAGGUCAAACCUGGCCAAACAUCUGACAAACAUCCCGACAUUUUCAGCGAAUUCCAGGACCGACAGGUGAGUUUACUUUUUCACUUCCGUUAUAUCAAUGAAAUGAAUGCAGUGAUAGAAAAGCCUCUCUGCAGUAGUAAUUACAUUUUUUUUAUCCUGCCUCCCGAAAUAAAUACCUAACGCUACUGUUUUUCACCUAACUUAGCGCUCGUCUGAUAAUUAGUCAAAUAUGUCGUUUUAAAUAUCAUUUUUCAGGCGGAUGUCUCCUCACGUGGGAAAUAGUUAUUUUCGACCGCUUCUACUACCAGUAUCCAGUAUCAUGGCGCGCAUCCACCACAGGUUGUGUUCCCUGAUCAUUUCUUACAUCAUUACAUCAUUUCUUCUUGGUGGACUCAUCUAUAGUGUGAGUUUGGAUCUUUUGCUUUCCACUUUUCUUUGCUAAUCACUCUUUUACAGGUGUCCUGGUGCUGCACUAGCCUUGUUCCCAUUAGUGCACAUUCUUGACCUUAUACAGCAAUGUCCCAGUUUUCCACUAUCUAUGUAAGAUAUCUGAGAAAUCUGUGUCACUGCACUGGCUUUACCAAGUCUAGAACCUUCUAAAAGCAUGUAUUGUUAUUCAGCAGGUGACUCUAUCUAGGACUACAAGUUCUACCUAGAGAUGCAGCCUAAAGAGGUGAGUUUUGACUAUGCAUCUGUAAAAUGAGGCUCGGCAGAAUGUUCACAAUCACCCCUAAGAACUUCCAUAUGGAGCUUGCGGAGAACCCACUCCCUUGAACAAAAGGGGCAACCUCUGUGAUCCCGCACAUCUUUACCAAUGUGUUCUAACUUUAGCAAAUGUAUCUACCUCCUCAUUUCCUGUCAUUUUCUACAUGUGCGUAAUUAUAGGAACCCAAAAGGUUUCAUAUCUGAUCAUAUCAGUGACUUCAGUUGACAAACAGACAAACCUUCCUGAUUUUAAUCUCUGUUCCUGGUCAGGAUUCUUGUAACUACAAACUGACUGUGGGAGGAGGGAGAGAAUAGAAAUUUAGAUUUACAAAAUUUAAUUCACACAUCAAGGUUAUGUGAACCACAGCCAUUUAUGCACAAUUUGGCACUAAUCUUCAGUUUCAUCACUCAGUAAUAUAUGCUGAAAUCCACAACUGAACUAAGAAUUUACUGCAUUUAGAAGCAUUUACAUGUACUGUUGGUGUGUUCAGAGUAAAGAGUGCAUUUGUCAUCAUUGUGAACCUUGGUUAUUCACAUAAGACUUUUAGGUGUUUAAUUAGUGGCUAGGCUGAAUAACGUUAUACAGCACCACAGGAGACCAAAAGGGAUCCCCCUAAAAGAGAGAAUGGUUACUUAGAGUAUCACUGUUUCAGUGCCACCUACUGUACUGCUGCUAACAAUAAAAUAGUGUGACCCAGUAAGAACAUGUGACUUAAUACAGAGACAUCUGGCAACCAUGUGGGGGAAAAAAGGGAACAGGAAAAAAAACAAAGGAGAAGACAAGAUAGAGAGAGAAAGAGACAGGGAGGAAGAACAAAUGAAAAUGACAUGCACGUUGAAUCAACGCGCCUCAACAUGUUCUGAUAAAGCAAGCAGGCCAACAAUUACACACUGCUCCCCUCCCAAGAGCCUAGCAGGGUUUUUUUCCAAAUAUGCAAACAUACACACAUUUUUGGACCAUUCGUGUUACGGUUCACAGCCCAGUCACACUAAAAGGUGACGGCCCCAAAUAACUUGCAAUUUUAAAAAAGCUUUGAGAUCCCCACAUCUUCAAGUGUCGGUUAAGUAACAUCAUGACAGUGACAACGGGUGCAUUCUUAAUCAAUUUUAUCUACAUUUACAUUUACGGCAUUUAGCAGACGCUCUUAUCCAGAGCAACUUACAAAAGUGGUGUCUACACCUCUAAAGGUGUGGACAAAGAGUCCACCAAAUGGCAGAUAAAGGUUACAAAACUGUGAUUUGCAGUAAUAGUAAUGCCUACCUUGCCUUGGAAGAAAAUUCAGCUCUCCUCUUUCACUUUCAAUGCUAUGUUCGUAGUUUUAUUACUACAAUCAAAGAAGACUCUUUUAUUGUUUGUACCAAACUUUUGGCAGUAUGCCUGUAGGUUGAGCGUCAGCUGAAACUAGUUAAGGAAUCUACUCUCUAAAUAGAUCUUUCUAAGGUUUUGAAUUGCUUUCAGUUUACUAGCCAUUACUAACAUGAAAGCCUCAAUGUUGUUUCUAAAUCAGUGCAACAAGCUAACUGGAUAACAUUAACACACAUGUCUUUCCUUUUCUUGUUCAAAUAUUUUAACACUUCCUGUUUGGCUUUUGGUUCAGGCCUGCCAUUAAAAUUAGCAAUAACAAAUGUGACACAGUCUUAUACACUACCAGUCCAAAACACACCACCCAAAAGACUGUUAGUUCCACAAACUAAUCACAAAGCAAGUCCAGCAGUGUUGCAUUAACUCUUACUGUGCCCACUGACAUCUACACUGGUAUAACUAUUUAACACAUUGAGUUGUCUUUGUAAAUCUGGUAGUCACAGAAAGAUUGGUUCCAGAGUGAAACAGAGACGAUCAAUUUCCAGACUGGCACCAGGCUGGGACAUUUCUGCAAGAUGAUAACAACUGACAACAGAAAGGUUUAUUGCCAGUAUGUUUUUUUCAAACCGACCAUUGGCAUGAGCUUUAAGUUCCAUGUGAUUGUACACAGCAUGGUGACACUAAGGCACCAUCCACACCAACGUAUGAAUCAUUUAUCCAGCGUUUCCAAUUACGUUCCUGGAGGGCCAAGAAGUUUAAUACGGUUUAUUGUAUUUACAGGUUUGAACACACCAGAUUUAGCAGAUCAUUAUUAAGCCCUUCCUUGGCUAAAUGAGAAUUAGGGACAUUUGCACAUUGGCAUCAUUUUAGUUCAAGAACUGCUAAGAGUCAUUGUGGAAAAGGAAAGACAUUACCAGCUGAGUGAAUACUGUAUCACCAGAGGAUGCAACAUAUAAAGCUGAUAGAAAUGAGAUUGUCUGCUUAUGGUGAAUUGCAUUUAGCAUCAGUCUCAUUAAACAGUAUUAUUCUAUUUAAUAUAUUGUUACACUGCCAGACAUGCUUAAGAUACCUGUUAAUAUUUGAAUUUACUACAGAACUCCUAUUUGUGCAAGAAGUCUUUUGCAUAUAAAUAGCACACACCAAUAUAUUAAAAAUGUGUGUAGUAUCUUACAUCAUACAGAACUAUGGGGGUAUUCACAAAAUAGUCUGCUAUGGUCCAUUUGAAGUAAACACAGCCUGUGUUGAAAUAAACCCACCCAUCACCCUACAAAAUCCACCUGAUUGGUCCAAACUGCAUGUGUUUUCUUUUAAACACUGCUAGGCUUAAGAUGCCUUGUCAGGUGAGGCGUAAUGAUCAAACACACACACGCAUGCAUGCAUGCACAC